rnacentral:lncRNA from 1 species
CUUUGGUUAAAUGAAGAGACUUAAAUGAGGGUUGAGAGUCCAUUUGAUGCAGCUCGCAUUGAGGACCAGCUCUCUCAACCAAGAAGAUCGGCCCAUAUUAAAGCUCAAUGAAACCGAGAAGCCGUAUCGACCAUCCUUGGAGAGUUGCAGUCAUCGAUCUAGAAAAAUCGGUGCCCCCUCAACUUCCUUGGAGGCCUAGGUGAGCAACUAACGGAGUUUCUAUCUUUUCCUUUUCUGUUCGUUAUUUCCAACCCAAUUUCGACCAUCCUACAGUGCUUAUUUCAGAAAACGCAAAACAUAUAAAGUGUAGAUCCAGAAGUCUUUGUUCAUUUGGCUUUGGAAUCAGGUUGAUCCGAUCUAUAUCAACAAAGAUACGACUGUUCUAUUGAGCCUGCUCAGUGUUGAAAUUUCUGUUCGCCCUGUUUUCCCGUGUGCAAGUCACUCUCCCGAUCCUAUUGUUUGAGAAAGCCUACCCUUGGCUUGCAUCAUUAUUGCUCAAAAGCCAUUGAUUAUGAUGAUGAAAAAACUUCGAACACUACCUAUCGAAUUAUCUUAUUCGUCAACCAUGUGUGCCAAAUCUUUCAUACAAGUUGUAUUUGAGAACUACUUUCAUGUUAUCGAAGCACAAGAGCCAUGGUCAAGUUCAAUCAAACUCUUGUAGACCCUCAUUUCACAGCUUGUCCAGCCCAUCGAGAACAUUACAGGCCUAUUUGGUUCUUGAGAUAGUUUCAUUCGAUGAAACUGUGUCGUAGGUAGUAUUUUGAAAGCUCACAUGGAUGCAGAAUCUUGUGUGAUACGGCAAGAUAAAAUCAUUUUGCCAAAUCUUGGUCUUAAGAAUCCAAGAUCAAAAAUGUUAUGCAAUUGACAUAGCAUGUCCUUAGUGACUAACACUAAACUCCUGAUGGCCCAAGUAUUGAUGGGGCAAUUGCUGCAUACCCAAAUGCAUUAGACCCCAUGCAUGCAAUAUGUCGGAUAAUUUGAGUCUCACUAGGAAUUCGUAAGAUCCAAGAAAUCUUGUUUACUGGAUCUAUAUUUUCUGGCUGCGGCCAAUAAUUUUCUGUACCAGUGGCCCCCGUAUGCCCUUUUGAGUUUGCUCC